UCUUCCAGGAUAGUUCUCCAAUGAUUGCAGAGACCACAUCAGGAGUGGAUGGGAAAUCUUCCAUGUUCAACCGGCGAUACCGUACUUGCUCCUCUAUUAAGUGAUUUACCUCGUGAUAAAUCAAGUCCUCGAUCUCUCGUAUUUCCUGUGCAUCUUUUUCUACUAAGAUCAACCAGAUCGUUUUCGGAUCCCUUUCAUUAAUAGGGUCAAGUGGUUGCGGCUCAUGGCCUCCCAUCCGUGGAUUCUGGAGAUUGGGAUUUUGCCCCCCCGCUUGAUCGGGAUCCUGAUGGGCCCAGCCACUAAUGGUGGAGCCUCUGCCCUUGGUGGGUGAUUGAGAUCCAGAUCUAACCUAGGGUGUGC
rnacentral:lncRNA from 1 species